rnacentral:rRNA from 1 species
GACGAACGCUGGCGGCGUGCUUAACACAUGCAAGUCGAACGGAAAGGCCCUGCUUUUGUGGGGUGCUCGAGUGGCGAACGGGUGAGUAACACGUGAGUAACCUGCCCUUGACUUUGGGAUAACUUCAGGAAACUGGGGCUAAUACCGGAUAGGAGCUCCUGCUGCAUGGUGGGGGUUGGAAAGUUUCGGCGGUUGGGGAUGGACUCGCGGCUUAUCAGCUUGUUGGUGGGGUAGUGGCUUACCAAGGCUUUGACGGGUAGCCGGGCUGAGAGGGUGACCGGCCACACUGGGCCUGAGCUACGGCCCAGCCUCGUACGGUAGGCAGCGGUGGGGAAUAUUACACAGUAGGCGGGAGCCUGAUGCGGCAACGCCGUGUGCGGGAUGACGUCCUUCGGGUUGUAAAGCGCUUUAGCUUGUGACGAAGCGUGAGUGACGGUAAUGGGUAAAGAAGCACCGGCUAACUACGUG